GUGUUAUUGUGUGUGUGUGUGUGUGUGUGUAUGUGUGUGUGUGUGUGUGUGUGUUAUGCACACACACACACACACACACACACACACACACACACACACACACACACACACACACACUGACCUUCAACAUUUGUGCACAUUU